CCGAUAACCCACAGACGUUUAAAUCUUUGGCGAUGACAUUGCGCCAACGCUGCCUUGGUUUGCCCCUCCUGUUUGGGCCUGGUAAGGCAAAGCUAAGGGCUUUGUUGCCUACGUGUUCUUCUUUUGACAUGCCCAAAACCACCUCAGCCGACUUUCUUGGAGCUUCUCGGUGACGUCUCUCAUUCCGAGGCUACCACGGAUGUGUUCGUUUCGAACCCUAUCAAUCCUGGAGACGCCUGACAUCCACCUCAGCAUCUUCAUUUCUGCCACAUGGAUGGCUUGGACACAAUCUCGUGUACGACGUGUUUGCUCGUGCUCACUUGGGGAGCCUGGCUUCCGCUUAGAAACCUAAGUCCAAUAAUCGUAAGCAGCAGUACGAAAGCGACCGCUAUCCGACCUUCCAGAGCCAACAGGAAACUACGCCCUAUUGGGGUUCAUCACGAUGUUUUCCUUCACUGAAAUGCGAUUACUUAAUAGGUAUUAAAAUUUCGUACAGUAAGUUUCAUGAAACUCAUUUGCCCGAGCCAGGUUUAUAAUCUACGACGGUCGGUUUAACAUGUUGGUAAUAACGAGAUUGUACUCGUUUCUCAGGAAACAGUGGCGUGUGUGCUCGAGGCUGGAACGCCCGCUUCGGCAUCGAGGGAGAGCUCUCAGCCGGUGCUGACUUGGAGGCCUACAUCAAGCUUUUCGGCCUUCUCGACGCUGAAGCUCAAUUCGCCGUAUUCAUCAAAAUAAUUUCCGGAGGAAAAGGAAUCCAAGGAACAAGUGGCUCCAUCUACAUCGUCCUCAGUCAAGUCAAUACUCUUUGUGGCUACAUCACCAAUUACAAGCAGAUCUCUAAACACACCGUGACCCAAGCUUUCAUCAUUACUACCGUUAUCUCCGCUUCCAUCAGUAACUCCCGC